UCAUUAUUUUUUAGUCUUUUAAUAUAAAAUUACAUAUAAAUACGUAGUAUUUAUGGCAAGACUCCCGAGGGAACAGUACUAGUUGAAGACCUUAGAAAUUCUCACAGAUUUAUCUGUGUAGUAUUUCUGGCUAAAACUGUACCAUGGAAGGGACCCAACACAGAGAA
rnacentral:misc_RNA from 1 species